rnacentral:lncRNA from 1 species
GCGUAAUAGUCAAUGGACGGAUAUUAAGUUGUUAAACAAAUUGGCAAUACCUUUAGGUGUCAUACACUUGUCAGUUGAGAGUAAUACCUCGAAUCCCUUUUACUCUUUAUGAAGAUGAAGCCAUGCACCCAGAAAUUUUGUUGAUAGGCAGAAAGGAAGCCUUCCAUGAAGAUCUGUUCACAUUGCGCUUGCAAAUGUAAACAUGAUGCGAUAUGACCAAUCAUCAUAUAUAUCAGAUAUGUCAUCUCUUAUUUGGGAUGGAUAAUGCAUGACAUGUUUACCAAAAUAGAGAGAUGAUGCAUCA